rnacentral:rRNA from 1 species
GGAAUAUUGCGCAAUGGGGGCAACCCUGACGCAGCGACGCCGCGUGGGUGAGGAAGGCUUUCGGGUCGUAAAACCCUGUCAGAAGGGAAGAAAUGCUUAUGGGUUAAUAUCUUGUAAGCUUGACGGUACCUUCAAAGGAAGCACCGGCUAACUCCGUGCCAGCAGCCGCGGUAAUACGGAGGGUGCAAGCGUUGUUCGGAAUCACUGGGCGUAAAGGGCGCGUAGGCGGCUUGGCAAGUCAGAUGUGAAAGCCCACGGCUUAACCGUGGAAGUGCAUUUGAAACUGCUUGGCUUGAGUAUCAGAGGGGAAAGUGGAAUUCCCGGUGUAGAGGUGAAAUUCGUAGAUAUCGGGAGGAAUACCGGUGGCGAAGGCGACUUUCUGGCUGAAUACUGACGCUGAGGCGCGAAAGCGUGGGGAGCAAACAGGAUUA